rnacentral:misc_RNA from 1 species
GAUGAAGAACGCAGCGAAAUGCGAUAAGUAAUGCGAAUUGCAGAAUUUUAGUGAAUCAUCGAAUCUUUGAACGCACAUUGCGCCCGCCAGUAUUCUGGCGGGCAUGCCUGUUCGAGCGUCAUUACAACCCUCAGGCCCCCGGGCCUGGCGUUGGGGAUCGGCGGAGCCCCCCGUGGGCACACGCCGUCCCCCAAAUACAGUGGCGGUCCCGCCGCAGCUUCCAUCGCGUAGUAGCUAACACCUCGCGACUGGAGAGCGGCGCGGCCACGCCGUAAAACACCCAACUCUUCUGAAGUUGACCUCGAAUCAGGUAGGAAUACCCGCUGAACUUAAGCAUAUCAAUAAGCGGAGGA